UAAAUGACUCUCGGCAACGGAUAUCUCGGCUCACGCAUCGAUGAAGAACGNNNNAAAAUGCGAUACUUGGUGUGAAUUGCAGAAUCCCGUGAACCAUCGAGUUUUUGAACGCAAGUUGCGCCCGAAGCCUUCUGGUUGAGGGCACGUCUGCCUGGGCGUCACGC
rnacentral:rRNA from 1 species